GGCGCAGACACAAAGGCAAACAAUCCCAAACACAGGCUUUGCCCUCCUUGUACGUUGAGACAAAGGAAGCAGAAAUGAGCCUGGGAUCACAGUCUGCGCUGAGCAGCAUGGAGCAAACAGGGCGUCCCCUUCUCAGUGACAGAGGGACUUGGGCUGACCAACCGUCUUGGCUUCCCUGGGACUGUCCCAGCUCAGCACUGAAAAUCUCAUGCCGAUGAAAACCCCCGCAGGCCUGGGCAGAUGGGAACCUUGGUCACUCUUGCAGAAACUUGAGUCAGAAAUAAAGCAACUUCUCCCAGGCCAUGUGGAAAAGCCAUGUGUGAACCAGAGGAACAAGUACAACAGAGCCGCUGAGUACACCCCAACACAGAGGAGCCAGCGCUCACCGAGAGAUUUGCCAAGUGGAGUCCUUUUGAGACAUCCAAAUUUCACUGUCUUCAACUUAUUAAUGUGAAACAAAGAAUAACGUAUAUGUGUGUGUAAACACGAAUAGUAACAGCUUAUAUUUGUAAACAAUGUGCCGUGCGCCCAGCACUACAUUAAGCAGUCUCCAUGCAGCACCUCCAUUAAUCCUGGGGAGCACUGUACCCACUUCAAGAGGCCUUUAGAAGAGCAAGUAACAAAAACUGGUGGAAAAAAAGCACACAUUCAACAGGAAGCAACAUCUAGAGACCUUUCUGCCUUCCAGGAUACAAAAAGAAAACAGUUCAUAAACAACUUACAUCUAAACCAGUAAUGUUGUCUCCCUGGCUCAUAGGAGCUGAAGAAGAAUUCCAGUUACUGUAGUAAGAAUAUAAGGAUGUGGACUGGUUUGAGGAUGCUUGAGGCAUGACUAUAGCAAGUACUGCGCAUACAUAUGUGGACAUCGUAAGACACACUCUCUGCUUCCCCAGGCGAAAUCUGUAAUGCUUUGUUUAUUCAUGUUCUAUUCUGCGUUUCCAUGGCACUUUGUUCUUUGUGGUUUUUAGGGUAUCUUUCUCCCUCUCUGCUCAGUGAACUGAGCUGCCUGGACAGGCCUUGAGUUUUCUUAUUCGAUUGUUUUUUGUGUGUGUAUGUUUUGCCUUAGCUCCCUCACUAGUAUAGUCAAGGAGCUUUUCAUGCUUUGAGCCAUUUGUGGCAUUUCAGGAAUUACCUUCAUAGCUUUUGUCCAUUUUCUACUGGCUUGUCUUUUUCAAUGUUUUUAUAGGCAUUUUUUAAAAAACACAGUGUGGAUGUCAUUUGGGAUAGCAGUACUAAUAGUAGCUAAAACUUACUGAAAGCUACUGUGUGCCAGGCAGUCUGCUGAGCACUUUACAUGCUGCCUUUCAUUUUUACACUCAUUUAGGAAACUGAGUCACAGAGAGGCGAGAUAACUUGCCAGAGAUUCAAGCACACUCCAGACACAUCCCUACACCAAUCAGACCUCCUAGCCACCCAGAAACUCUCCUCUGCUCGGAGGCUUCUCUGCUUCCUCCACCUGCCCCUUCGCCUCACUGCCUCCUUUCAAAAUCUGCGGCAUGUAUUUUAGGGAUACUCGUAUCCAUUUUCAGGAAUUCCAUGAUCUACACACAGAUGACACCAAAAUCGGAACAGCAAUGUCCACCCUUCUCCCGAGCCCUAGGUCGGUGCCUCUGUCCACCUGUGUCUCCUGAAACUUCAACACAGACUUCAAAUGGAGUGGCAGAAAACCAGAUUCCUUAGGGAAAGGAAGGUCUCCCAGACGGCAGGAGCGGCAGGCCUUAGGGGCAGCCGCAGGGGCUCGGGAGUCUGAACAUACCCGGUUUGAAUUCAGACUCUGGCACGCCCCAUGCGAUCAUAACAUAGUGCUGCACGUCUCAAGCCACCUAUAAAAACGGGGACAAUAACAAUAUCUGCCUCGGGGUUAAUGGAUUAGAUGUGUCGGUCCAUAGACGUUGCUGGCCACAUAGUUAAGUGGUGCGUUCACUCACUGGGCAUUGAUGGAGCGCCUACUACGUGCCAGGCCUGUUUUACGCGCCGGGGGCCCAGAGGCGCCCAGCCGGACUGCCUUCCCUGUUGUUAGUUUGUAACUUUCGCUCCGGCCCCCGCAGCCUCGCGCCUGCCUUCCCUCCACUGUCCUCAGCCAAGGUGUAGUAAAGCGUCUCCGAACGCGGCGCGACCCUCGCCCACGCCCGCUCGCGGGGGGA
rnacentral:lncRNA from 1 species